AGUUAACAAGAAUGGAAGCUGGUCCGUCACGUUGUUCUAAAUAUUGUAUGGAGUGAAACUAAGCCGGUCUCGACGAACUAGCUGGUCAGCGUAGCCGGUGGCGAAGAUGUCGAAAAAACUGUUUGACAACCGAAAAGGGGACUGGACGCCAACAACAGCAACACCCCUACUACGCGUCUCUUUUUAAAAAACAAACGUUACAUAAUAAAAAAAAGUCCAAGGUCAUGACAUAGUCUCUGCCUUUGUUUUUUCAUCGCGGGGGAGGGUUAGUGUCCACGUUCACACAGUUCAUGAAAGCCACAAAGUAAGAUUCCUCGUGUUGCUCGCCCUUCUUUUUCCACUCCUGCCAACCCGCUUUGAAACCAGCGUGAAAUCUCGCCAUGUUGACCGGUUGACCUGCCAGGUUAGGUAGCUGAUCCGACAGGCGACGGGACAAAUUUGAACGGUAUUUGGUGAUUUCGGAGACCAGUUCCAUGCUUUCUUCGAGAAAAACCGUAUUCACCACCCAAACGAUGAAUUCUUUGGCCGGAUCUGGUGAGUUCUCCCCCUCCGGGUUCUCUGGGUUCUCCUGUGGGUUCUCUGGCGCCCUCUCCGGCCGCAUCGAAGCUAUCUUCAAAACACAAUCUAGAUCUGUCAAAAAAAAAAUGUCUGCUCACCACAAAUACCUCUCCCUUAUUUUAAGGUUACAGUAUACCUUCGG